CCUAAAAGUCUCCGUACGUGCAUAAAUUCCAUUUGCGCGUAAUCGUGAGCCAUGCAGCGAGCCAUACACAUGUGGUGGCAGCCGUCGGCUGUUUUUUCAUCUGGCUGACAAUGGCUUAUGGCUUGCUGUGUGUUGAGGGGAAGUGAGUGAUCCGAUAUGCUAGAAAGGCGGAUCGAUAGCGCUCAUUUCCUCGUUAUUCUCAACAACGGUGUCCACUUUGGCGUCUACGCCUCACCUAGCUAUCGCCCGGACCGUCGGUAGCAAUGAAAGGUGGGGAGAAAGUUCCUCUAUAUGAGUUGAGCAGACUUAAUGAGCCCGGCAUGAGGGCCGCCAAAACCCAAAACACAACCGUUUCUUUUCAUUUCUAUAGUUGAUCGAUGAGUCGAGGCGUUCGCCGUUCCACAACUUGUUGUCGGAUAUGCGGGCGUGUAGAUGA
rnacentral:rRNA from 1 species